ACCUGGAUUUUGAGAAACAACACUACUGUGGCCUGGUAUGCUAUUAUGUCCAGUGGGCAAAAAGGUCUGAUUUAUUGGCGGUUGCUCUUUGACGACGUGCUCCACCGAUGGAGCACAGUGGUUUGGAGCAUCAUUCAAGUAAAAACUGGAAGUGUUGAAUAAUGGCAGUUCAAAACAUCCAUCAUCGGCCUGCGUGUAGGAAGUAUUGUAUUCUUGAUGGGUAGAUCCCUGAAAGGUCAGGGUAUCUUCUACUGGUAGUGCACCUGUAAGGGUCUUGAAUGCAAACUCCAUGCAUGGGUCUGACCAAUAGUCCCCAAAUGGAUAAGAAGCUAGUUGCGCAUGCAAUCUUCUGUUCUGUUCAUCUUGAUUCUCAGUUACCAGCUCUCCUGUUUGCUUUUCUUUAACAGGCUGGCUAUCCACAUUAAGAUCUAGAUUUCUGUGUGAUGGUUCAGCUAAUUGUGAGGCUUGCCACUGCUGGUUUCCCACAUUAAGAUCCACACUUCUCUGUGAUGGAGGUAGACGUAAAUCUUGCCACUCUUGGUUUUCCAUAUUAAGAUCCACGAAUCUCUGUGAUGGAGCUAGUUGUACAUCUUGCCAUUGCUGGUUUUCCACAUUAAGAUCCACACUUCUCCAUGAUGGUUCAGCUAGUUGUGGAUAUUGCCAUUGCUUGUACUCACCAUUUCGUUUUUCACUUACCUCUUCUACAGUAGACCUUUCUGAGACAGACCGGUCCUCUGCAGGGAAUACCCUUCUUCCUGAUGCUGAUUCAGCUAGUUGAGAAUUGUUCAAUAAUCUAUUCUGACCGUCUUCUUCUUCUUUUGCCGGCUUGGCUGUAGGCCUUUCGUUAAGCGCAUGCUGUUCCAAGUGAACCUUUCCUCUUUCAUAUGAUAUUCCAGCUGGCUGAGAAUCUCGCCAUAUUCUCUCAUCAAUAUUCUCUUUAAACGCUUGGCCCUCUGAAAGACACUUCACAACUUCUAAAGGAUCAUCUCGUGAUGAAGCUUUUCUGCUUAGAGAGGGCUGAUCAGAAUCCCCAGUUGCUAGAUCAGUUUGCUGGGCCGAUUGCCCACCAGAGACAUUCAUGGGAAGGCCUGAAGAGGCUGAACUGUUAACCACAGAAUGAAGAGCACGUUCACCUAGAUUUAAAUCAGUCACCAUUUCUGGGUUGUGGCGUGAAAGUCUCUUUGAGACACGACGAACUGGAGUAGAUGACUUGCUGUUUCUGAUUUUUCUCAACCUUGCUGGCACUCCCUUAUUACUAUGCUUUUCCUUCUCAUUUUCUCGUAAUUGCUGCUCUGGGAGGAAGUCCAACUGGGGGGAAACAACUAAUGACCUUCUAACAUCAACAGUUUCAGCAGCUGCAGCUUUUGUGUUUCCAACUGAGUCUCUUAUUUUUGGUUCCACAUCUAGUCUUAUUUCAGUAUCUUCAUUUAGAUUUUCAUAUGAAUGUUUUUCUGUUAUAUCGGCUACAAUAGAUGAAAUACUGGUGUUGAGGUUGAACAUACUGCUUUUAGGAUGUUCACUGGAAUUCUCAGCUUGCAGUGCCAUUGAACAAGUAACAGAACACUUACUACCUUUUGAUUCAUCAGUGGCAGAAAGUUGUAUUCCGGUCAAAGAGCACCUUAAUUUCUUCGAACUGGUAUCAUGUGUUGAGGGAGAAUUAUCCUUCAUUGUCGAACCCGGAUCCCUUUUGGUAGGCUUCACAGCACAACUUCUGAUGUCUCCAGUUUGCAGAUAGCGCAUAACAUCCUUUUUGGAACGAAAUACAUAUCCAUGCACUGGAUCCGUGUAAUACGGGUCCUUUUUU
rnacentral:misc_RNA from 1 species